GAUGAAGAACGUAGCGAAAUGCGAUAAGUAGUGUGAAUUGCAGAAUUCAGUGAAUCAUCGAAUCUUUGAACGUACAUUGCGCCCCUUGGUAUUCCAUGGGGCAUGCCUGUUCGAGCGUCAUUUGUACCUUCAAGCUCUGCUUGGUGUUGGGUGUUUGUCCUUGCUCUAGUGGCGGGACUCGCCUUAAAGUAAUUGGCAGCCAGUGUUUUGGUUUUGAAGCGCAGCACAAGUCGCGAUUCAAGUCUAUACGCUAGUUUCCACAAGUCUUUUAUCACUUUUGACCUCGGAUCAGGUAGGGAUACCCGCUGAACUUAAGCAUAUCAAUAAGCGGAGGA
rnacentral:misc_RNA from 1 species